rnacentral:lncRNA from 1 species
CCCAGCUACGAUCUGGCCCUAGGGUGGGUGUGUAGUAUAGUCAGGCCAUGUGCCUUCUAGUUUCAUCUGUGUACUCAGACAGUUUAUUUACUUCCGCUAACUUGUAACUUGAAUGACUGCUAUGAUGGGUCGUGAGACCCCUACUGUGUAAUAUUAUGUCUAUGGUUCUUCCGAGCCUUUUAAAUAAAGCUUGUAUGAUUAUGGUUAUGUUGUGAUGCCAUCGAUGUAUCUAUACAUAUCAGUAUGCCAUGUGUACGUGUGUCGUACUUGAUAUGUAUGGGGUUCGAUUACCUAGCCGUAGGCUUUAGCAGCAUUCCUUACACGGAAAUGCCCCUUUGUGAUCCAACGAGCC